GACGAACGCUGGCGGCGUGCCUAACACAUGCAAGUCGAGUGAUGAAAUCCCUUCGGGGAUGGAUUAGCGGCGGACGGGUGAGUAACACGUGGGUAACCUGCCUCAAAGAGGGGGAUAGCCUCCCGAAAGGGAGAUUAAUAACGCAUAACAUUAGUUUUUCGCAUGAAGAACUAAUUAAAGGAGUAAUCCGCUUUGAGAUGGACCCGCGGCGCAUUAGCUAGUUGGUGAGGUAAAGGCUCACCAAGGCGACGAUGCGUAGCCGACCUGAGAGGGUGAUCGGCCACAUUGGAACUGAGACACGGUCCAGACUCCUACGGGAGGCAGCAGUGGGGAAUAUUGCACAAUGGGCGAAAGCCUGAUGCAGCAACGCCGCGUGAGUGAUGAAGGCCUUCGGGUUGUAAAGCUCUGUCUUUUGGGACGAUAAUGACGGUACCAAAGGAGGAAGCCACGGCUAACUACGUGCCAGCAGCCGCGGUAACAC
rnacentral:rRNA from 1 species